rnacentral:tRNA from 1 species
AAAGACCUAUAGGACCUUCUCCUACAUCACCUGAAUGCAACU